AUGGUGGCAGCGGGGCCUCGGUUGCCCUGCCUUCUACGUGGGGAACCCGGAUCUGGAGCGGCGACUCCAUUGGCAAGGCAUGGCCGGCUAGCAGCCGUGCGGGCGGUGGAUCUGGCGUCCCGGCCGCGCGGGCGGCGGGAUCCGGUGGUCGUUGGCGGCCGGCGGCGGCUUCUGCGCCGGUCGGUGCGCGCGAUCUGGCGCCUCCCCUCCUCCCAUGUUCGGUGUGCGGGCCAGCCUAGUCGGGCCGCGCUUCCUCUUGGUCGCCGGUUCUGUACAGGAGGCGCUGCUGGUGGCGGGGAUCUAGUUCGGGCGAAAUCCCUGGCCGGCCAUGACCGGCCGCGCCAAAGGCGACGCCUGAGGGCGCCGUUCCCCUCCUUGGAGGCGUCGGUAUGGACUGAUCUCUUCACUUCCCCUUCCCCUAGUCUCCCGGGCGAAAGCCCUAACUUUGUUGGGCGGCGGCGGCGCUCACGGCGCCGUUCCCUUCAUGAAGGCGUUGCUUUGGGAACCUUGGGGUUGGGUGGCGCUUGUGGGUGGUGGGCGACGGCGGUGGUGCGGCCCAUCCUAGCAUGA
rnacentral:rRNA from 1 species